rnacentral:rRNA from 1 species
GACGAACGCUGGCGGCGUGCUUAACACAUGCAAGUCGAGCGGUAAGGCCCUUUCGGGGGUACACGAGCGGCGAACGGGUGAGUAACACGUGGGUGACCUGCCCUCAGCUCUGGGAUAAGCCUGGGAAACCGGGUCUAAUACCGGAUAUGACUCCAUGACGCAUGUUGUGGGGUGGAAAGCCUUGUGCGGCUGAGGAUGGGCCCGCGGCCUAUCAGCUUGUUGGUGGGGUGANGGCCUACCAAGGCGACGACGGGUAGCCGGCCUGAGAGGGCGACCGGCCACACUGGGACUGAGACGCGGCCCAGACUCCUACGGGAGGCAGCAGUGGGGAAUCUUGCGCAAUGGGCGAAAGCCUGACGCAGCGACGCCGCGUGAGGGAUGACGGCCU